UGCCAUCCAUACCCUUCACCGCCUCUCUCUUCACCCUGCUUCGCACCCCCGGUCACGUUAUCUUCCCUCCUACUCCAACGUCUCUACUGACGCUCAUCCCCGACACUUAGCCACCGCCUCCAUCGAGCCAACUCGGAGACUGCUCCACAGUUAUCAACCCCGGCUUCCAGAACCCAGAUUCCUUCAAACCAUUCUCUUAUCAAUUCCCCUUUCUCGCUUCCAAUAAACCGAAGAGGUAGACGCCUAUUACUCAUCUUCACACUCACCGCUUCCAACUCCUACACAACACCGACGUCUUCACGCAUUCGAGCCCUAGAUAGGACCCACGUCUACAAUCGGUUCAUAGGAUCAGAUGAAUUUUCCGUCCAUCUAUUACACAAUUGGUUGGCUUUUGUCUAUCGCUUUUGACUUCCCAUCGAUACGCAACCAGCGAUUUAGGGAUUAUUGCUCCAGGUACGUAACUGAUUUGAACUAUCUCUGCCACGCUCUACAUCUCUACCCAGUAAAUUUCCAACUCUUCUGACAAUUCUGCAUUUGCUUACGUAAAUAACUUCAUUUCGAUCCCAAAGAUUCGUUCGAAUUUUGUAGACAACUGAUAUGGUUGAGCGAUACCGAGAGGACAAAAGGCUACGCCGUUGAUUUCUUGUCAGUGUCUCUUCAUGCGGUGUCUAGGGAUCCUAAGGCAUUUACACCUCUAACACAACUGUACUUAUAUUGUUUUGGCCUGUAUUUUAUCUCGAUGUAAAAUGUAUUAUGUUUAGAUUGCACUAAAUGACUGAAGUAUUCAGUAUUUAAUUGAAAUGCAUUGUGUUGUGUUUAAGAGUA